AUCGCUUCUCGGCCUCUGGCUAAGAUCAAAGUGUAGUAUCUGUUCUUAUCAGCUUGAUAUCUGAUAUGUCCCUCAUUGAGGGACCAGAAUAUCGAACUGAUUUUUGAAACAGGGCGAGAUGUCUGGGGCUUGCUCCGAUCUUGCCGCGGGUCUGCCUUCCAUUGCAGUGAAGGGAGGAUCGGCCCACAUAAU